rnacentral:misc_RNA from 1 species
GGGAAGUUGAUGUAUUUCAGUUCAGCUGAUAUGAUUCAGUCCUUACUUAGCUUGACUAAUAUAUCCAGCUUUUUAGGAGGUGUUUUAGCAUGGAAAGAUCCUCAGGUGUUGAUCCCGGCUCUUCAGAUUGCAGAAAUUCUUAUGGAGAAGCUUCCUGAAACAUUUUCCACAAUGUUUGUGAGAGAAGGGGUAGUUCAUGCUGUAGAUGCACUCAUA